rnacentral:rRNA from 1 species
GACGAACGCUGGCGGCAGGCCUAACACAUGCAGGUCGAGCGCGCCUUCGGGUGAGCGGCGGACGGGUGAGUAACGCGUGGGAAUAUGCCCUUCUCUACGGAAUAGUCCUGGGAAACUGGGGGUAAUACCGUAUACGCCCUUUGGGGGAAAGAUUUAUCGGGGAAGGAUUAGCCCGCGUUGGAUUAGGUAGUUGGUGGGGUAAUGGCCUAACAAGCCGACGAUCCAUAGCUGGUUUGAGAGGAUGAUCAGCCACACUGGGACUGAGACACGGCCCAGACUCCUGCGGGAGGCAGCAGGGGGGAAUCUGAGACAAUGGGUGCAACACUGAGCUAGUCAUGUCGCGAGAGUGAUGAAGGCCUUAGGGUCGUAAAGCUCUUUCAGCUGGGAAGAUAAUGACGGUACCAGCAGAAGAAGCCCCGGCUAACUCCGUG